rnacentral:rRNA from 1 species
UACGGGAGGCAGCAGUGGGGAAUCUUAGACAAUGGGGGCAACCCUGAUCUAGCCAUGCCGCGUGAGUGAUGAAGGCCUUAGGGUUGUAAAGCUCUUUCAGCUGGGAAGAUAAUGACGGUACCAGCAGAAGAAGCCCCGGCUAACUCCGUGCCAGCAGCCGCGGUAAUACGGAGGGGGCUAGCGUUGUUCGGAAUUACUGGGCGUAAAGCGCACGUAGGCGGACUGGAAAGUCAGAGGUGAAAUCCCAGGGCUCAACCUUGGAACUGCCUUUGAAACUAUCAGUCUGGAGUUCGAGAGAGGUGAGUGGAAUUCCGAGUGUAGAGGUGAAAUUCGUAGAUAUUCGGAGGAACACCAGUGGCGAAGGCGGCUCACUGGCUCGAUACUGACGCUGAGGUGCGAAAGCGUGGGGAGCAAACGAGGAUUAGAUACC